rnacentral:rRNA from 1 species
UACAGGGGGUGCAAGCGUUGCUCGGAAUUACUGGGCGUAAAGCGUGCGCAGGCGGUUUGUCAAGUCGGGGGUGAAAACCCGGGGCUCAACCCCGGAAUUGCCUCCGAAACUGGCAGACUUGAGUACGAGAGAGGGUCGCGGAAUUCUUGGUGUAGAGGUGAAAUUCGUAGAUAUCAGGAAGAACACCAGUGGCGAAAGCGGCGACCUGGCUCGAUACUGACGCUCAUGCACGAAAGCGUGGGGAGCAAAC